rnacentral:lncRNA from 1 species
UUUUUUUUUUUUUUAAAGAUUUUAUUUAUUUACUCAUGAGAAACAGAGAGACAGAGAGGCAGAGACACAGGCGGAGGGAGAAGCAGGCUCCAUGCAGGGAGCCUGACAUGAGACUCGAUUCCGGGUCUCCAGGAUCAGGCCCUGGGCUGAAGGCAGCACUAAACCGCUGAGACACCCGGGCUGCCCUGAAACUUAUUUUCACACAGGAAUUUGUACAGGAAUGUUCCUAGCAGCUUUAUUUAUAAUGAAUGGCCCAAAGUUGAAAAGUACCCAAAUGUCCUUCAGUGAGUAAAUGGUUAAACAAAUUGUGGUACAUCCAUGCUAUAGAACACUACUCAGCAAUAAAAAGGAUAUGUAUGUGUAUGUAUGUAUGUAUGUAUUAUAUGUAUGUAUACAUAUAAAUAAAAUUUUGGUGAACCUCAAGGAAAUUUUGCUGAAUGGAAAAAAAAAAGCCAAUCUCAAAAGGGUAUAUACUGCAUCAUUCCACUUCUGCAACAUUGUAAAAUAGCUUAAAAACAUAAAUGGAAAAUAAUUUGUUAGUGAUUUCUAAGGGCUACAGGUGGAGAGAUGUGCAUCUAUAAAGUAGUAACAUGAGGGGAUAUUUUAGUGAUGGUACGAGUGUAAACUGCACACACACACACACACGAGUGCAUCUAUACCUUCUGAAAUGUGAAUAAGUCCUAUAAAUUAUGCCAAUGUCAAUUUCUUGGUUUUAAAAUCGUAUUACAAAUGUGUUAUUAUGCUAGCAUUGGGAGGUUUAGGAAUAUAAGGAAGGGUUCAUGGAAUUUCUUUGUGUAUUUCUUUGCAAUGUCUUGUGAAUCUUAUUUUAUUUCAUUAUUUCAAAAUGAAAUAUCUACAAAAUUUCACUUCUGCUAAAAUAAUUUUGAUAGGCAGAACCUUAAGAGACAAUGCAAUGCUUAAAAGUUUGCAUUUUGGGACUCUGUCACAUUUUGAGAAUACUGAUGUUCACUUUUAUUCACCUUCCAAUGGGAGGCUUUCAAAAGCUUUGUGCUCAGACUAGUCCACUGUGUAAGUCUACAGGAAGAUUACAUACACAUACAUGCCCAUGAACAAGAGCUUGGAGGUGGUUUUUAAAUAUUGAAUGUGCGUUUUCAUUUUAUCUUUUGGGUUAUUUUUAUUAUUCUUUGCAAACAUGAAAUGGAAUCUGAUUCUAGGAUACAAUACUAAGAAUAUAUUUUGUAUAAGUAAAGGAAAAUUUAUACAUAUUUAUAUUGUUUUUAUCUCUGUAAAAAAAUUAAAACCCUUUUUAAAUUAAUAUUUUAAAUAUACAUUUAUAAAAUAAUACACCCAUUUUCAUAUUUUAUUAACUUAUAUUUACUAAAAAUUUCAAGCUUAACAAUAAAAAUUAUUGGUAGGUUCUAAACAAAUAUUUCAAUUAGUGAUUUUGUUCAUGCUUAGGCCCUUUGUUGCAUUAUGUUCUUCCUUAGAGGCCAUCAGUACUGACAAAUUCAUUUUCAAUUAUAAGACAAAAAAUGCUCAUGAAAUCAACUAAUUUUACUACAAAUAUUUACUAAUAUUUUAUAUUUACCUUAUAUCCUUUAAUCACUUAAAAGUAAUUAUAUAUAUUUGUUGUAUCUAUAUAGCUUUCAUGUUUUUAUAAAAGUUUUAUUUAUUUUUUUUAAAUUUAUUUUUUAUUGGUGUUAAAUUUUUAUAAAAGUUUUAAAAAGCCAGGAGGAAACAUAAAGGAAAAAGUGUUAUUUCAAAAGCUAACUCAAUUUUUAGCCAGUAGAACUAAGGAAAUCUCUCUAUGAUUUUCUUUUUUUAGUUAUAUUUGCUGAGAAUCUGUAGGCACAAGAUUACUGCAGAAAAUGAACUUGCAAAUUUUCUGUUUAAGAAAAGAUAAGAAUUUAGGUACUUGAAGAAGGAAAAGAUAAAGAGUGUAAAGGAGAAAGCCAGGAAAAUGGAUACCGGGAACAAAUUUGAUGAAAAAUUUUGCUCCAGAGAAAUUUUCAGUGACAUUUCAGGCCAUCCAAUUUUAGAACACUGAAGUCAAAUAUCAAUAUUUAGUGAUUCUGUGUUACAAUCUUCAUCUUCUUUUAUAUAGGUUAAUAAAAUUAGCUAUUCAGAGCCUACAUUUUUUUUUGUAGCAAAGGAAGAGGGACAUUGCCAAUUAUGAGGUAAACCAGUGUGAGAAGAAAACAGGAACAGAACUGCCAUCAACCAAGCAGGAGUGUUGGAGAUUCCAACAGGAAAUGCAUUGGAAAAUGAGGUACACAUUAGAAAUUAUACCUCUCAACAUUGACAUAAUACUUGGAAGUGUCCCGGAAAUGCCACAGAAAUUAUUAUGUCCUCUCAACUGUUUUCAGAAUAAAGCAGCAGCUACUUGAAAGAAAGUUA